rnacentral:lncRNA from 1 species
AUCGCGUGCCCCUCACCGGUCCCUGGGGUUUAUUGGGGUCUCCUCUCUCCCCAGUACGACUACCUGGGCGACAGGCGGCCCGUCCCCGCGGGGAUGUUCCCGUACCACUACCCAGCAUCUCCCACGGUCCACGACAAAAUGGAUGAACUUUUAGACCUGCAGUUGCAAAGAAACCUAGAGUAUUUGGACCAGCAGGUAGGCAGAGCUGGCUGCGAGCCUCACGCUGCUUCUGUCCCCAUGUGCCCUGUCCCCAGCGGCGUCCCCUUCCUUCCCAGCACCGCAUCUCUUCCCCUAACAUCCAUCCUCACCCCUCUUGGCAUUAAAGCAGCACGCGUUGUCCUUGCUUUGCUUCCUCCAUCCUUCCCCUCUGUAGGGUCACUUGUUGCUUGGCAGAGAACCCCCCCCCGACAGUGCCUUCUGUGGGGUGUGCUGGAGCCGGCGGGGCGGUGCGGGAUGUCCCCGCGCCCCACGGUGCCUCCGGCAUCGAUGUGAGCCCAGGUGCUGCCAAAAUGAUCAACCAGGGCACCCAGCAAGGGGCUGCGAGCCCCUGCAGGUGGCUGGGUUGGGGCAUGGAGGUGCUUGGUGCUCGCCCAGGACCCCCGCAGGAGGGUGAGCAAGGCGUGCAGCCAGGCGAGGUGGCGUUGGUGACGCUCUCGCCCCGCGCCUCCUCGGAGGCGAGAGGUUUGAUGCAGGGCUGGGGGCAGGAGCCUGCUGGGACUGGCACCGAAGCAGCAGCUCCCGGGAUUUUGCAUGCCAAGGGGGGUUUGGAGAGAAGCCACGAGCUGACUUCAUCCCGGGGGCAGGGGGAGGGAAAGCCUGGGAGGCAGCUGCGGGAGCAGGGGGGUGAAAAGCGCGGGCACGGCUGAAAUCAGAGAGGGGGACGGGAGCCAUCGGCCGCUGCUGCCGCCCGGCGCUUGCUUGCACUGAGGGAGCUGCUCCAGAGACAAUCUCAUUAGUCUGCAAAUCCCCAUCGGUGCAGUAAUCACCAAGAUCUGUGUCUGCCUUGGAGCAGAGCCAAGGACAAGCAGGAGCGCU